rnacentral:tRNA from 1 species
GCAGUCAUAGCCGAGUUGUUAAGGCGUUAGACUAGAAAUUUUAUCCUCUCUGGUUCGUAGGUUCGAAUCCUGUUGACUGUG